AAAAAGUCAAAACGCUAGGUUUACGUGUCAACGUUUGACUGUCUGUUAUAUGAAAUUUUUUUAUAAUUAGUAUUUUCAUUGUUGUUAGAUGAUAAAACAUGAUUAAUACUUUAUGCGUGACUUAUCUUUUUAAUUUUUUUCAUAUUUUUUUUAAAUAAGACGGAUGGUUAAACGUUGGAUACGGAAAUCAGGGUU
rnacentral:pre_miRNA from 1 species